rnacentral:rRNA from 1 species
UUAUCAAAAACAUGUCCUUUUGUAUAUUUAUUUAAGGUCUAACCUGCCCAAUGAGGUUUUUAAUGGCCGCGGUAUUUUAACUGUGCUAAGGUAGCAUAAUCAUUUGUCUUUUAAUUGAAGGCUGGAAUGAAAGGUUGGACGAAAUAUUAGCUUUCUUUAAUUUAAAAUUAGAAUUUAAUUUCUUAGUUAAAAAGCUAAGAUUUUUUUAAGGGACGAGAAGACCCUAUAGAUCUUUAUAAAAUUAAAAUUUAUUAAUUUGGAUGUUAAUAUAAUUAAAUUGAAUAUUUUAUUUAAUUGGGGCGAUUCUGGAAUUUAUAUAACUUCUAGUUGAUUUAUUCAUUAAUUAUUGUUUUAAUGAUCCAUUUAUAGUGAUUAAAAGAUUAAGUUACCUUAGGGAUAACAGCGUAAUUUUUUCAKAGAGUUCUUAUUAAUGGGAAAGUUUGCGACCUCGAUGUUGGAUUAAAAUAAGUAAUUGGUGCAGUAGCUAAUUUACUAGGUCUGUUCGACCUUUAAAUUUUUACAUGAUCUGAGUUCA